UGGCCAUAUCAUAUUGAAACACCGAUUCUUGUAUGAUCACCAAAGUUAAGCAACGUUGAGCCUGGUCAUUACCUAGAUUGAUGACUGUUUGGGAAUACCCGGUGUUGUA